GACAGGUAUGGUGGCACAUGCCUGUAGUCCUAGCUACUUGGGAGGCUGAGGUGGGAGGAUUGCUUGAGUCCAGGAGGUCGAGAUUGCAGUGAGCUAUGAUUGCGCCACUGCCCUCCAGCCUGGACAACAGAGCAAGAUCCUGUCUCUC
rnacentral:SRP_RNA from 1 species